UGGGGAAUUUUUCGCAAUGGGGGAAACCCUGACGAAGCAACGCCGCGUGGAGGAUGAAGGCCUUCGGGUCGUAAACUCCUGUCGACCGGGAAGAAUGCACCUGACCUAAUACGUCGGCGUGUUGACUGUACCGGUGGAGGAAGCCACGGCUAACUCUGUGCCAGCAGCCGCGGUAAUACAGAGGUGGCAAGCGUUGUUCGGAAUUACUGGGCGUAAAGGGCGCGUAGGCGGCCCGUCAAGUCCCGUGUGAAAGCCCCCGGCUCAACCGGGGAACUGCACGGGAAACUAGCAGGCUUGAGUUCGGGAGAGGGAAGCGGAAUUUCGGGUGUAGCGGUGAAAUGCGCAGAUAUCCGAAGGAACACCGGUGGCGAAGGCGGCUUCCUGGACCGACACUGACGCUGAGGCGCGAAAGCUAGGGGAGCAAACG
rnacentral:rRNA from 1 species